GUGAGGAAUUUUCCGCAAUGGGCGAAAGCCUGACGGAGCAAUGCCGCGUGAAGGAUGAAGGCCUAUGGGUUGUAAACUUCUUUUCUCAGAAAAGAAUUAUGACGGUAUCUGAGGAAUAAGCAUCGGCUAACUCUGUGCCAGCAGCCGCGGUAAGACAGAGGAUGCAAGCGUUAUCCGGAAUGAUUGGGCGUAAAGCGUCUGUAGGUUGUUUAAAAAGUAUUCUGUCAAAGAUUAGGGCUUAACCCUAGAUAGGCAGAAUAAACUUUUAAGCUAGAGUUUGGUAGAGGCAGAGGGAAUUCCCGGUGGAGCGGUGAAAUGCGUAGAUAUCGGUAGGAACACCAAAGGCGAAGGCACUCUGCUGGGCCAAUACUAACACUGAGAGACGAAAGCGAGGGGAGCAAAUGGGAUUAGAUACCCCAGUAGUCC
rnacentral:rRNA from 1 species